GGGCCUAUAGCUCAGUUGGUCAGAGCACCUCGUUUACACCGAGGGGGCCGGGGGUUCGAGUCCCUCUGGGCCCACCA
rnacentral:tRNA from 2 species